GAUUACACAAAGACCUUAUCCUCUCUGUAGUCGCGGCUG
rfam:Parabacteroides merdae CAG:48 genomic scaffold, scf558